rnacentral:rRNA from 1 species
CACGUGCUACAAUGGCAUAUACAGAGGGCAGCAAGACCGCGAGGUGGAGCGAAUCCCAGAAAGUAUGUCGUAGUCCGGAUCGGAGUCUGCAACUCGACUCCGUGAAGUCGGAAUCGCUAGUAAUCGUGGAUCAGAAUGCCACGGUGAAUACGUUCCCGGGCCUUGUACACACCGCCCGUCACACCAUGGGAGUGGGCUGCACCAGAAGUAGAUAGCUUAACCUUCGGGAGGGCGUUUACCACGGUGUGGUUCAUGACUGGGGUGAAGUCGUAACAAGGUAGCCCUAGGGGAACCUGGGGCUGGAUCACCUCCUUACAAAAAAGA